GCCGAGGAUAAGAGGACGUCUACAAAGACAGCGAGCAACAAAGACUGGAAGCAUGAGGGGGAAAAAUAUCUGAGGCUCCUCACAGCCUGCUGUUUUCUGAGACAAGGCUUUGAAGUGGAUGAGGGAGGCGAGGCAUUAUGUGCCCAGAUGCCAGGAGACAGUGGUUAAGGGGGCUUUAUCACACAGACAGGGGGACAGCACGCAUCUCCUGCCCUCCCAUCUUUCACCACAGCAGGAGGCUGAAUGUGACAACCAUGCUCCCCAUGCUGCUCUGGGGCCAGGCCCGCAAAACCACAGGCGGAUAAUGAAUGCCACACCAUCGUGACAACUUGCACUUUUAUGGAAAGGGGAGGAAGGACAUCUCUGGCACGGACGCUCGCAGCAUUUGAUGAAACAUCCUCCAUAAACCAGACAAUCAAAGAGAAGGCAGUAAAGCAUCUGUGGAAUCUGGGACGGGAACCUCUGCUGAUUUACUACCAAAAAAUAAAAAAGGGCUGUUUCCAA